AGCGAACGCUGGCGGCAGGCCUAACACAUGCAAGUCGAACGAACCUUUCGGGGUUAGUGGCGGACGGGUGAGUAACACGUGGGAACGUGCCUUUAGGUUCGGAAUAACUCAGGGAAACUUGUGCUAAUACCGAAUGUGCCCUUCGGGGGAAAGAUUUAUCGCCUUUAGAGCGGCCCGCGUCUGAUUAGCUAGUUGGUUGAGGUAAUGGCUCACCAAGGCGACGAUCAGUAGCUGGUCUGAGAGGAUGAUCAGCCACAUUGGGACUGAGACACGGCCCAAACUCCUACGGGAGGCAGCAGUGGGGAAUCUUGCGCAAUGGGCGAAAGCCUGACGCAGCCAUGCCGCGUGAAUGAUGAAGGUCUUAGGAUUGUAAAAUUCUUUCACCGGGGACGAUAAUGACGGUACCCGGAGAAGAAGCCCCGGCUAACUUCGCG
rnacentral:rRNA from 1 species